rnacentral:rRNA from 1 species
UGGGGAAUAUUGGACAAUGGGCGAAAGCCUGAUCCAGCCAUGCCGCGUGUGUGAAGAAGGUCUUCGGAUUGUAAAGCACUUUAAGUUGGGAGGAAGGGUUGUACGUUAAUACCGUGCAAUUUUGACGUUACCGACAGAAUAAGCACCGGCUAACUCUGUG